AGGGAUAUAGCUCAGUUGGAAGAGUGCCUGCCUUGAAUGCAUAAGGCCCUGGGUUCAAUUCCCAGCACCAUUA
rfam:Ictidomys tridecemlineatus contig079258, whole genome shotgun sequence.